AGCGGAGGAAAAGAAACCAACAGGGAUUGCCCUAGUAACGGCGAGUGAAGCGGCAACAGCUCAAAUUUGAAAUCUGGCUCUUUUAGAGUCCGAGUUGUAAUUUGCAGAGGGCGCUUUGGCUUUGGCAGCGGUCCAAGUUCCUUGGAACAGGACGUCACAGAGGGUGAGAAUCCCGUACGUGGUCGCUGGCUAUUGCCGUGUAAAGCCCCUUCGACGAGUCGAGUUGUUUGGGAAUGCAGCUCUAAAUGGGAGGUACAUUUCUUCUAAAGCUAAAUAUUGGCCAGAGACCGAUAGCGCACAAGUAGAGUGAUCGAAAGAUGAAAAGCACUUUGGAAAGAGAGUCAAACAGCACGUGAAAUUGUUGAAAGGGAAGCGCUUGCAGCCAGACUUGCUUACAGUUGCUCAUCCGGGUUUUUACCCGGUGCACUCUUCUGUAGGCAGGCCAGCAUCAGUUUGGGCGGUAGGAUAAAGGUCUCUGUCACGUACCUCCUUUCGGGGAGGCCUUAUAGGGGAGACGACAUACUACCAGCCUGGACUGAGGUCCGCGCAUCUGCUAGGAUGCUGGCGUAAUGGCUGUAAGCGGCCCGUCUUGAAACACGGACCAAGGAGUCUAACAUCUAUGCGAGUGUUUGGGUGUCAAGCCCGAGCGCGUAAUGAAAGUGAACGGAGGUGGGAACCCGCAAGGGUGCACCAUCGACCGAUCCUGAUGUCUUCGGAAGGAUUUGAGUAAGAGCAUGGCUGUUGGGACCCGAAAGAUGGUGAACUAUGCUUGAAUAGGGUGAAGCCAGAGGAAACUCUGGUGGAGGCUCGCAGCGGUUCUGACGUGCAAAUCGAUCGUCAAAUUUGGGCAUAGGGGCGAAAGACUAAUCGAACUAUCUAGUAGCUGGUUCCUGCCGAAGUUUC
rnacentral:rRNA from 1 species